rnacentral:rRNA from 1 species
UACGAAGGGUGCAAACGUUGCUCGGAAUUACUGGGCGUAAAGCGCACGUAGGCGGCUUUGUAAGUUAGAGGUGAAAGCCCAGGGCUCAACCCUGGAAUUGCCUUUAAGACUGCAUCGCUAGAAUUGUGGAGAGGUAAGUGGAAUUCCGAGUGUAGAGGUGAAAUUCGUAGAUAUUCGGAAGAACACCAGUGGCGAAGGCGACUUACUGGACACAUAUUGACGCUGAGGUGCGAAAGCGUGGGGAGCAAACAGG